GAACCCCUAUUUUUACUUUUCUUUUUAAUUAAUAUUAUUUGAUGAAAGAACCCAUUUGUUCUCCUAAUUCCCUAACCUCUUGCCCCUUUGAGCGUACCCAGAACCUUACCUGCCUACAACCACCAUCGUCCCUGCCGCUAUCCACCAUCAACCUCCGUCGCAUCUGCCACUAUCCUGCCGUCAACCUCCGUCAACAUCUACAGAACCUCAAUUUUCUUUUUCCUUCACCUAUAAACUUUAUAUCCUCCACCAAAAAACAGCAAUAAUUCAAUUAAUCCAAGCUCCAUGUUUUCAAAUAGCCCCAAAAUUCUAGGAUUUUUUCCGAUUAAUCUCGACUACCACUUCUUGUUCCCGCUGAUCCCUAAUUCUAGAUUUUCGUUCGACUCUGCAAAUUUUCUGAUUUAUUUUGCAUGCUUGUCGUUUAUUCCUUUGGUAAUUUCUCAAUAGUUGAGCCAUAACGUGCAGAUUCCAUUAGUGAGAAAGAAAUUGCAACUGAUAGUUGUGGGAAACAUAGUUGUAAGUUUUCUUAAUCUCUUUUUAAUAUAAAUUUAGGAUAACAACAGUCGCCAGUCGUUCGAUUUUCCAUUGAAAGCAUGCCAAGUUUCAAUCGGGUACGUCUCUUGAACCUUAAUAUGUGCUUAACUCUAUUUUGUAUCAGAAUUUUUAUGCACUAGAUAAUCUGUAUGUAGGAUUAUUAUAUGUGUGAACUUGUUUAGAAUAUUGUGUCAAAUAGAUACUAUUACUUACACAGUCGCUAGUUGUGAUUUUGGAUGAAAAUUUCAGUUUUAAUGUCCCUUUUUAGUCGAUUCAGUGAUUUUUUGUUUUGUUUUUGGGAGUAAUGGAGCUAGUGUAAUUGAAUGGAGAUUCAAAUCCAUAUGACACAAGCAUGAAAACGUAUUUAUUCGGACUUAAAAGUUACUGGAACUUGGGUUUUUGUUUUUUAUUGAUUUUCUUAGUUUGGUUUUCAUGUAAAAUUUGUGUUACUGGUGAUUUUAAGGUGUCAAGUUUGAAUGUCAUUUCUUGUUGCUACUGUUCAAGUUUUUUGCGCAUAUUACUGCGUACUGUGGAGAAUAUUUGGUUCGCUUACUGUUGUCCAGGCUUGGAAUCCAGGUAUAUCUUAUUCUAUAGCUGAUCUGCUCUUCAAUUGUGUGAACGACACAGUAGGAUUCUUUUAUGUGCUAGUAAUUUUCUAGAACAUAUUAGUCUUCUUCUAUGAUUUUCGUCCCCUUCUACUUGCUCUUGUGUGUUGCUCUUGUGUGUUGUUCGCACUUGGUUAUGCCAAAUAUCGUGCGACUUUCCAUUGAAAGCAUGCCAAGUUUCAAUCGGGUACGUCUUUUGAACCUCAAUAUGUGCUUAACUCUAUUUUGUAUUGUAAUUUUUAUGCACUAGAUAAUCUGUAUGUAGGAUUAUUAUAUGUGUGGACUUGUUUAGAAUAUUGUGUCAAAUAGAUACUAUUACUUAGGCUUAACCAAAUAAGUAAUAACUUUGUGUAUGCGUAGAUUUUUUUAUUUUAUACUUAAGUUUCUGUCCUUCACUUAAACACCAUAUCUUAGGAUUGCAAGAGCUAACUUGAUGCUUCUUAAAUAAAAGUUCUGCCUAAGGAUGUAUGGUUGCUCUCUGUGAUUUGAUCUUAUUACUAGGAUAUGUUCACAUAAUUAUCAUGGUCAUAGGAUUUUAAUCACCGACAAGAGGGGUUGCUCUGAUGCUAAGCAACCCACAUUUCCAACCGAGAGGUUGUGAGUUUGAGUCUCCCCAAGAGCAAGGUGGGAAGUUCUUGGAGNNNNNNNNNNNNNNNNNNNNNNNNNNNNNNNNNNNNNNNNNNNNNNNNNNNNNNNNNNNNNNNNNNNNNNNNNNNNNNNNNNNNNNNNNNNNNNNNNNNNNNNNNNNNNNNNNUUCAUGGAGGGAAGGAUGCCGGGGGUCUAUAUGGAAACAACCUCUCUAUCCAAGGGUAGGGGUAAGGUUUGCAUACACACUACCCUGCCCAGACCCCACUAAGUGGGAUUAUACUGGGUUGUUGUUGUUGUUGUUGUAUAGGAUUUUAAUCGCCAUGGACCACGUUUAUGAUUCUGAAAUGAUUAACUUCAUUGUUUUAUAGGACAACUCAUGAUUUCUAUAUACAAAAAAAAUUGUCUACCAUCUACCUGUCUACUAUAGAUCUCUACUACCUCAAUAUGCUCGGUCGUAUGACUUUUUUUUAGCAAAUACUACUAGGGGGUCUGCCUUGAAUUUUCUGCCCGUGUGCAAGUACCUUUGAAACAGCUGAUUGUACCAAGUUGUUUAAUUUUGGGGUCUCCAAAGCAUCAUAACUAUUCUAUCAUGAUCUGAAAUUUGAGGCUCCUUAGUUGGUGUUAUAACAACAGUCUGGUUGGCAUGUUGAAUUUGUACGUUUGCAGCGUCACCUGAGACUGUUUUGGGAACAAAAACUGGAGCGUUAGAGUUGAGGUUGCUUUUACCACCUGAUCUUGGAGAUAUUUUGGUGCUUAAUGUAGUCUUGGAGAUAUUUUGGUGCUUAAUGUAGCGGUGAACCAACUGAAAGCAGUGAUUCGUCAUCACAUUCUUUAUUUUCAAUACCAUUGAAAUCACUGAAAUCGUCGUCUUCAUCUUCUUCAACUUUGUCAGCCCAAGUUAAGCCUUAGAUUGAUAUCAACACCCUUCCCGUCCUCUAAAAUUUUAAAACUUGUGUACUAGUAACAGUCAUUGGAGCAAUUUGUCGACCUCUGAAAUAUUUGAUUUUUACUGGUUUUUCUUCGCACCUGGUGAUGUAUUCUGCCUCACCAUUGUCCAACCUUCCUUCUUUGAAUUUUGCGCAGCUACUUUCUCCAAGUGAGAUGUAACAGACUUGCCUGAAGCAUCAAAAGCAUGUCCAGAUUUUCUUGUAGAAUGCACCUGGCCAGCUCUUUUUU
rnacentral:lncRNA from 1 species